rnacentral:snoRNA from 1 species
UUUACAUGAUGAUAUAGUAUUUUACCAGUUCUGCUUCUGAACCAAUGUAAUUAGUCUGUUUCAUUUACCACUUGACAA